GUCGAGCGACAGAAGGGAGCUUGCUCCCGGAUGUUAGCGGCGGACGGCUGAGUAACACGUGGGUAACCUGCCUGUAAGACUGGGAUAACUCCGGGAAACCGGAGCUAAUACCGGAUAGUUCCUUGAACCGCAUGGUUCAAGGAUGAAAGACGGUUUCGGCUGUCACUUACAGAUGGACCCGCGGCGCAUUAGCUAGUUGGUGGGGUAAUGGCUCACCAAGGCGACGAUGCGUAGCCGACCUGAGAGGGUGAUCGGCCACACUGGGACUGAGACACGGCCCAGACUCCUACGGGAGGCAGCAGUAGGGAAUCUUCCGCAAUGGACGAAAGUCUGACGGAGCAACGCCGCGUGAGUGAUGAAGGUUUUCGGAUCGUAAAGCUCUGUUGUUAGGGAAGAACAAGUGCGAGAGUAACUGCUCGCACCUUGACGGUACCUAACCAGAAAGCCACGGCUAACUACGUGCCAGCAGCCGCGGUAAUACGUAGGUGGCAAGCGUUGUCCGGAAUUAUUGGGCGUAAAGGGCUCGCAGGCGGUUUCUUAAGUCUGAUGUGAAAGCCCCCGGCUCAACCGGGGAGGGUCAUUGGAAA
rnacentral:rRNA from 1 species